AUUCCUACGGGAGGCAGCAGUGGGGAAUUUUCCGCAAUGGGCGAAAGCCUGACGGAGCAACGCCGCGUGAGGGAUGAAGGCCUCUGGGCUGUAAACCUCUUUUCUCAAGGAAGAAGAUCUGACGGUACUUGAGGAAUAAGCCACGGCUAAUUCCGUGCCAGCAGCCGCGGUAAUACGGGAGUGGCAAGCGUUAUCCGGAAUUAUUGGGCGUAAAGCGUCCGCAGACGGCCUUUCAAGUCUGCUGUUAAAACGUGGAGCUUAACUCCAUCAUGGCAGUGGAAACUGUUGGGCUUGAGUGUGGUAGGGGCAGAGGGAAUUCCCGGUGUAGCGGUGAAAUGCGUAGAUAUCGGGAAGAACACCAGUGGCGAAGGCGCUCUGCUGGGCCAUAACUGACGCUCAUGGACGAAAGCCAGGGGAGCGAAAGGGAUUAGAUACCCCUGUAGUCCUGGCCGUAAACGAUGAACACUAGGUGUCGGGGGAAUCGACCCCCUCGGUGUCGUAGCCAACGCGUUAAGUGUUCCGCCUGGGGAGUACGCACGCAAGUGUGAAACUCAAAGGAAUUGACGGAAU
rnacentral:rRNA from 1 species